GCUGGGGACCUUGAAAGCUCACAGAGAGGGCAGCCAGGCUCUGCAGUCACCACCUGGGAACAGAGGUCAAAAGACCUGCAGACCCACAACUUUGCCAGGUUCUCAGCGGCAGGAUGCUCUCCUGGACAGGAGCAGGAGGGCAGGGUGCCAUCCUGGAUGUCUAGCGGAGAAGAGGAUGCCAUUUUGGCUAUGGGGGCAGGUUGCUGUCCAGGGUGUGGAGGAGGGCCUGGCUGGCACACUGUUUCCUGUCCAGGCUCCCAAGCAUGAGGUGCAAGCAAUGGCAUCACUGUGGCCCUGCAUGACCACCAGUGUCACUUGGGCAGAAACACAGGAUUUGUCUGCACCCUGGACCGCCCACUCCUCAAGCCACCAGUGCUGACUGCCACUGCCCAGGUCCACCUUGCUGUGCACACCCAGCCCUCAGCCAGUGCCCAUGUAGAGCGCAAGGACAGAGGAGACGUGGCUUCUCUGCACAAGGGUCAUGCUCAGCCUGUAAGAGGAGGAAACUCUAAGAUACCCAGGACUAACCCUGACCAAGGAGGAAGAGAACUCCACAAUGAAGAUGACAGAUUGCUUUCUCAAGGUCCGUGAAGUAUGCUGCUGGGAUCUCAGUUGGGAUUGCAUUGAAUCUAUCUAGCAGUUUUGGAAGUAUGGCCAUUUUCACUAUAUUGAUCCUUCCUACCCAGGAGCAGGGGAUGUCUGUCCAUUUUCUGAUAUCAUCUUCAAUCUCUCUUUUCAGAGUGCUACAGUUUUCAGAGAAGAGGUCUUUGAUUUCUUUCGUUAGGUUGAUUCCUAGGUAUUUCAGUUUUUUGGAUGCUAUUGUGAAAGGAAUGAUUUGCCCUAUUUCUCUCUCAGUGAGUCUGUCAUUGGUGUAGAGGAAAGCUAUUGAUUUUUGUGUGUUGACCUUGUAGGAAGAGCAAAGAAAUAUAUGAAAAAAUGUUCAGCAUCACUGGUCAUUCGAGAGAUGCAAAUGAACACAACACUGAGAUUCCACCUCACUCCAGAAAGAAUGGCUGCUAUCAUGAAAUCAACCAAUAACCAAUGCUAGUGGGGCUGUGGGGAAAGAGGAACCCUGUUCCACUGCUGGUGGGAGUGUAGACUGGUGCAAGCACUGUGGAAAUCAGUAUGGAGAUACCUCAAAGAACUAGGACUGGAAGUCCCAUUUGACCCAGCUAUUCCCCUGCUGGGGAUCUUCCCCAAAGAAUUAAAAGAAUCAUACCACAGUGAUAUAUGUGCACCCAUGUUCUUAGCAGCACAAUUUGUAAUAGUUAAAACUUGGAAACAGCCCCAAUGCCCAUCAACUGGAGACUGGAUAAAGAAAAUGUGGGUUUUUUUUUUAAUAAAAUAGAGUACUACUUGGCCAUAAAAAAUGAGAAAUUAGAGACAUUUAUAGCUAAUUGGAUGCACAUUGAGGUGAUACUCUUAAGUGAAAUAAAUAGGAAACACAUAUGUAAAUACCGAAUAGUUUCUCUAGUGUGAGAAACUGAAAGUGUAAAUAAGGAC
rnacentral:lncRNA from 1 species